AACCGAAAAAAGCAAACCCAGCGAAAGCCGGGGACGCAAAGCCAUGGGUCUAAGG
rnacentral:ncRNA from 1 species